AACCUACGACUCUCUAAGCGACCUGAACCGCCGGGUGCCCGGCCGUUGCGCGGGCUGAUGACGUACGGAAGCUGCCGGCGUUGCCCUCUCCCAAGAUGGCGGCCAGGUCGCCUGCUCGGGCCUCCCAGGCGACUUUGCCCCACUGCGCCCGCGCUCUCUUCUCCUUUCCAUUUCUGGACCAAGGGGCUGCCAUAAGGAGUCUGUGACUAGAGAUGGGAGGUGGUGGCCACGGCCUCUCGCUGUAUGCUGUGUGGAAGGUCGAAUCAUCAUCAUCAUAAAACUUAAUAUUGCCCUUAUGUGCCAGGAACUACUAAGACAUGGGUUGGCCAGCUGUCCUGGACACCUCGAGCACACACAGACUGCAAGCUCCAUGAAGGCAGCAGGCUGAUCUCCCUUGAUCACGGCCUUAUCGCCUGUACCUGGAACACAAGGCCUGACACAAAGCAGGCAUUCAGAAAAUAUGUGUCAAAAAUCACAAACUAUGUGCUGAGCAUGUAAGAGACAGCUCUUACAUGAUGGAAAGUUCUCAAAGGCAGACUGGAUAACGGAGGUGGCAAGGAAUUUGUGAUGAUUCCAGAUUUCUGGAUGUGGAGAGUAGAAGUUCCUGGAGGGCAGUCUGGGAAUGCCGUCAGUGCUGCUGUAUUCCCAGGGCCUGGCAUGCAGCAGGUGCUUAGUGAAUAUUCGCUGAGGGAGUGGCACGUGGGUCUAGUGCCACUUCAGCAGUGCGUUUCCUUCAGGCG
rnacentral:lncRNA from 1 species